AUGCUCCCUUUGGCAGCACAUACACUACAAUUGGAAUGAGACCGAGAUUAGCAUGGUCCCUGUACAGGAUGGCACACAGAGUCGUGAAGCAUUUCAUCUUUUC